AAAAAGACAAAUCCUAGGUUUCCGUGUCUAACAUUUGACUAUUCGUCUUAUAUGAAAUUUUUUUAUAAUUAGUAUUUUCAUUGUUAUUAGAUGAUAAAACAUGAUUAAUACUUUAUGCGUGACUUGUCUUUUUAUUUUUUUUCAUAAUUUUUUUCAAAUAAGACGGACGGUCAAACGUUGGACACGGAAACCCAGGGUUUGUCUUUUU
rnacentral:pre_miRNA from 1 species